rnacentral:rRNA from 1 species
AUUGAACGCUAGCGGGAUGCUUUACACAUGCAAGUCGAACGGCAGCGCGGACUUUGGUCUGGCGGCGAGUGGCGAACGGGUGAGUAAUGUAUCGGAACGUGCCCAGUAGCGGGGGAUAACUACGCGAAAGCGUAGCUAAUACCGCAUACGCCCUACGGGGGAAAGCAGGGGAUCGUAAGACCUUGCACUAUUGGAGCGGCCGAUAUCGGAUUAGCUAGUUGGUGAGGUAACGGCUCACCAAGGCGACGAUCCGUAGCUGGUUUGAGAGGACGACCAGCCACACUGGGACUGAGACACGGCCCAGACUCCUACGGGAGGCAGCAGUGGGGAAUUUUGGACAAUGGGGGCAACCCUGAUCCAGCCAUCCCGCGUGUGCGAUGAAGGCCUUCGGGUUGUAAAGCACUUUUGGCAGGAAAGAAACGUCGCGGGCUAAUACCCCGUGGAACUGACGGUACCUGCAGAAUAAGCACCGGCUAACUACGUG